rnacentral:siRNA from 1 species
AUUUCGAUCCUAUUGUGUUGGCC